GACGAACGCUGGCGGCGUGCUUAACACAUGCAAGUCGAACGGAAAGGCCCUGCUUUUGUGGGGUGCUCGAGUGGCGAAUGGGUGAGUAACACGUGAGUAACCUGCCCUUGACUUUGGGAUAACUUCAGGAAACUGGGGCUAAUACCGGAUAGGAGCUCCUGCUGCAUGGUGGGGGUUGGAAAGUUUCGGCGGUUGGGGAUGGACUCGCGGCUUAUCAGCUUGUUGGUGGGGUAGUGGCUUACCAAGGCUUUGACGGGUAGCCGGCCUAAGAGGGUGACCGGCCACAUUGGGAAUGAGAUACGGCCCAGACUCCUACGGGAGGCAGCAGUGGGGAAUAUUGCACAAUGGGCGGAAGCCUGAUGCAGCAACGCCGCGUGCGGGAUGACGGCCUUCGGGUUGUAAACCGCUUUCGCCUGUGACGAAGCGUGAGUGACGGUAAUGGGUAAAGAAGCACCGGCUAACUACGUG
rnacentral:rRNA from 1 species